rnacentral:lncRNA from 1 species
CCUCCUUCCCCUCUCAAGGGGUGCAGGACUUGGGAGAGCUUGGAGAGCGCUGGGUGAAGGAACCAGUGGCAAAUGAGCUGAAACGAGCUUGUUAUUUCUCUCUCCCCAUCACACCUCCCACCUGGCCCAUGGGCUUAACAGCAACAAGCAAGGUGUGCAGGGCCACCCUCGUCCAAAGCACAUUCCCACAAAGCCUGGCUCAGUCAGGAAAAACACCUCUGCAAGCCCGUUGUCUAACAUUUAAAUUGUGGUCCUAAGCCCUGACCCCACAAGGAGUUUGACAGCUUGGAAACAGGUGCAGAAAUGCUCCCGAGACUCUUGGCACUGUUUUCCUGCUGUUCCACGGGUCAGCCUAAGGCUCGCAGAAGGCCAUGUGUGGGCAUGGGGUGGAGAGCAGACCCCAUCUGCCCACCUGGGUUCUGGGGUGCUGCCCAGUGUGCUGCAACAGCACAGGACCCUGAGGCUCCAUGCCUGGUGGCUGCUUAGCCCACCCCUUAUUUUCCAGAUGGGAAAGCUGGCUCUGCCAGGGGCAGGGCUUAUCCGUGUUAGCACAGAUCGGCCCCCAUGUAACAGUGAUGCAGCAGCCCUGGAUGUGGGCCCAUCAGGCAAGGGACAGAGUCCCUUCCUCUGAAGGCCUGACCUAUUUGGGACAGUAUUACUCAGCCCGCAGGAUUCCCAGGGACGUUAUGGGAAACCAGAACGAGCUUCCUCAGGGACGCUUUCAGCCCAGGGGAGAACAGGCAUGUGAAUUGGAUGGAGGGGAUUUUACCCAGGCGAAGCCCUUGCUGUCAGUGACUCCCUGGGCCCUGGGUGUUUGCUUAAGGUAUAGAACAAAAUUAUUUCAAAUUGCAUAUUAAACAUUUCUUUUUUGUUCAAGAUCAUGCCCAUCUAAGAUAUAUACAAUGAAGGAAAACAUCAAAAUGUUUUUUGCUUGUAGCUCCAUUUGCGGCUUGGCCUGGAAUUUCCUCCAUGUGUUUGCAUGCGGAGUCAUGGGGGCCUGGCUGACCCCACUUCCUGUCCCGUCCACCCAUAAGAUGGGGCACCGAGGCACUUCGUGGGAAGAGGAAUGGACUUACCCCUGCAUCCCUGCCCCACGGCUCGGCAAGGGGCUCCAUCAUCCCCUGCAGCCUUUGGGGGCCACGGAGGAGCAGCCAUUCUCUUCCUCCCAAGGCACCGUCACAAAGACAAGCUCACAGUGUGAUGGGCUCAUCGGGAUUUGCCGGUGCUUUGAAAGCCACCCUUGGGCCCCACGUGGACCGCCCGUGGUAAGCCCCUGGGCAAAGCUCCCUGCACAGACAGACGCCCUGGUCCUGCCGGCUGCCUCUGUCCCCUUCUCACGGAGCCCUGGG